rnacentral:sRNA from 2 species
AUAUGUCCUCGUUAGGUGAGGCUCCUAUACAAACACAGGCCACUGCCCAGAAAUAUCGAAAGAUGCCCAUGGGUAGAACAGGGAUUGCCGAAUUAAGGCUUUUCAUAAGGUGGCUAAGAGAAAUAAUUCUCUUUACGUUGUAUAGUGCCAAAACUCGGCUAGGGGAGCGAAU